UUUCGGAACGGGGUGAAAUAACGCGUGAGAAUCUACCUUUAGGACUUCCUAGAAGAUCUGGUACGAUUGCUAAUACCCGAUAUGCCCUUUCGGGGUGAAAAGUUUUUUCGCCUAAAGAUGAGCUCGCGUCCGAUUAGCUAGUAGGUAGUGUAAUGGACUACCUAGGCGAUGAUCGGUAGCUGGUUUGAGAGGACAAUCAGCCACACUGGGACUGAGACACGGCCCAGACUCCUACGGGAGGCAGCAGUGGGGAAUUUUCCGCAAUGGGCGCAAGCCUGACGGAGCAAUACCGCGUGGGGGAGGAAGGUCUGUGGAUUGUAAACCCCUUUUCUCAGGGAAGAAGCUCUGACGGUACCUGAGGAAUCAGCAUCGGCUAACUCCGUGCCAGCAGCCGCGGUAAUACGGAGGAUGCAAGCGUUAUCCGGAAUUAUUGGGCGUAAAGCGUCCGCAGGCGGCUAGAUAAGUCUGCUUUCAAAGAGUGGGGCUCAACCCCAUAAAGGGAGUGGAAACUGUUUAGCUAGAGUAUGGUAGGGGCAGAGGGAAUUCCCAGUGUAGCGGUGAAAUGCGUAGAUAUUGGGAAGAACACCAGUGGCGAAAGCGCUCUGCUGGACCGAGACUGACGCUGAGGGACGAAAGCUAGGGGAGCGAAAGGGAUUAGAUACCCCCUGUUAGUCCACGCGUUUACUCCACCCCGUUCCGGG
rnacentral:rRNA from 2 species